rnacentral:rRNA from 1 species
AACGAACGCUGGCGGCAUGCCUAACACAUGCAAGUCGAACGAGAACUUCGGGUCUAGUGGCGCACGGGUGCGUAACGCGUGGGAACCUGCCCUUAGGUUCGGAAUAACUCCCCGAAAGGGGUGCUAAUACCGGAUAAUGUCUUCGGACCAAAGAUUUAUCGCAUUUGGAUGGGCCCGCGUUGGAUUAGCUAGUUGGUAGGGUAAAAGCCUACCAAGGCGACGAUCCAUAGCUGGUCUGAGAGGAUGAUCAGCCACACUGGGACUGAGACACGGCCCAGACUCCUACGGGAGGCAGCAGUGGGGAAUAUUGGACAAUGGGCGAAAGCCUGAUCCAGCAAUGCCGCGUGAGUGAUGAAGGCCUUAGGGUUGUAAAGCUCUUUUACCCGGGAUGAUAAUGACAGUACCGGGAGAAUAAGCUCCGGCUAACCCCGUG